UUAAUUGAAACCAAAAAGAGGUAUAUCACUGUUAAUGAUACUAUUGAGUAUAAACUCCAAUUAAG
rnacentral:tRNA from 2 species